rnacentral:rRNA from 1 species
GGGGAAUUUUGGACAAUGGGGGCAACCCUGAUCCAGCCAUUCCGCGUGUGUGAUGAAGGCCUUCGGGUUGUAAAGCACUUUUGGCAGAGAAGAAAAGAGACGGGCUAAUACCCUGUCUUGAUGACGGUAUCUGCAGAAUAAGCACCGGCUAACUACGUGCCAGCAGCCGCGGUAAUACGUAGGGUGCAAGCGUUAAUCGGAAUUACUGGGCGUAAAGCGUGCGCAGGCGGUUCGGAAAGAAAGAUGUGAAAUCCCAGGGCUCAACCUUGGAACUGCAUUUUUAACUCCCGGACUAGAGUAUGUCAGAGGGGGGUGGAAUUCCACGUGUAGCAGUGAAAUGCGUAGAGAUGUGGAGGAACACCGAUGGCGAAGGCAGCCCCCUGGGAUGAUACUGACGCUCAGGCACGAAAGCGUGGGUAGCAAAC